UACAGAGGUCUCAAGCGUUGUUCGGAUUCAUUGGGGCGUAAAGGGCGCGUAGGCGGCGGGGUAAGUCGGGUGUGAAAUCUCAGGGCUCAACCCUGAAACUGCACUCGAUACUGCUCUGCUUGAGGACUGGAGAGGAGACUGGAAUUCACGGUGUAGCAGUGAAAUGACGUAGAUAUCGUGAGGAAGACCAGUGGCGAAGGCGGGUCGUCUGGA
rnacentral:rRNA from 1 species